AUGGGCGCGUGGUCUAGUACGUUUUCGGUGAUGCAUUGGAACAACACACCGGCUGCAAUGGUCAACAUGGGAGGAGGAUGCACUUGCUUCCACUGGCGUGAAUCCGACAGCUCGCAAGGCGGCUUAUCUUUGGCAGUUAUCAACCAGAUGAUUGCUAGCAGCCGCCACACACACACACACACACACACACACACACACACACACACACACACACACACACACACACAACGCACCACACAAGAGAGGGAGAGCUCCUAUUUGACACACAACGCACAACCCCCGCUCCCCCAGCGCGCUCUUCUGGGCCUGCUCAUACGUCCUGGAUCUCCCGCCGUAGACGAGUGGCCGGCCGGCCGCCUGUCUGCCUUGGCGCCGGAGACGGGAGCGGAGCACCGCCGGCGACCCGGAGGAGGAGGUCGCGCGCAUCUUCCUCAGCGUUGCCGUCGUCCCGGCGCCACUGAGGCACGCGCCGCGGAGCCUGAGGAAGCGCCGGCCGAAACAUUUAGUAGUAUCAUGCAUUCCUCUGUUCUUGCUCUGAUUGGUAAAAUUCAGACUUCUUUUCAUCAACGGGUGCAAAUUGCUUCAAACACCGGAGAAUAUGUUAAUUUGACAGAAGAGCUUCUCUGGAACUGUGCAACUAUUGAGUGGCAGAUAGGAGAUAUAUAUGCUCAAAAGCAAUGGAAACUUGUAAUCAGCAUCAGAAGAGAUGGACAAAGAGCAUAUGAAGAAGGCUAUCCUGGAGCAAGAACAAGCAUUCAGAUAACAGUUUGCCAUGAUGAUUUUAUGGCAUGUGGAAGCUUAACGUUGUCAGUUGACUCCUUUCUUGCAUCGGUCCUUGGGCUGUCAUUCCUUUUCGUUGUGGCCUAUGUUGAACACGAUGUUGGUGCCACAUGUCCAUUCGUUUAUAUGUAA
rnacentral:rRNA from 1 species